GAUGAAGAACGUAGCGAAAUGCGAUAAGUAAUGUGAAUUGCAGAAUUCAGUGAAUCGUCGAAUCUUUGAACGCACAUUGCGCCCGCCAGUAUUCUGGCGGGCAUGCCUGUUCGAGCGUCAUUUCAACCAUCAAGCCCCCGGCUUGUGUUGGGGACCUGCGGCUGCCGCAGGCCCUGAAAACCAGUGGCGGGCUCGCUGUCACACCGAGCGUAGUAGAUUUUCAUCUCGCUCAGGGCGUGCUGCGGGUUCCGGCCGUAAAAAGCCUUAUUUACCCAAGGUUGACCUCGGAUCAGGUAGGAAGACCCGCUGAACUUAAGCAUAUCAAUAAGCGGAGGA
rnacentral:misc_RNA from 1 species